UUUGCGUCGAAGGUAUACCGGUAAGGAGUGCUGGAGCGAAUAGAAGUGAGCAUGCAGGCAUGAGUAGCGAUAAUUAAUGUGAGAAUCAUUAACGCCGUAAACCCAAGGUUUCCUACGCGAUGCUCGUCAUCGUAGGGUUAGUCGGGUCCUAAGUCGAGUCCGAAAGGGGUAGACGAUGGCAAAUUGGUUAAUAUUCCAAUACCAACAUUAGUGUGCGAUGGAAGGACGCUUAGGGCUAAGGGGGCUAGCGGAUGGAAGUGCUAGUCUAAGGUCGUAGGAGGUUAUACAGGCAAAUCCGUAUAACAAUACUCCGAGAACUGAAAGGCUUUUUGAAGUCUUCGGAUGGAUAGAAGAACCCCUGAUGCCGUCGAGCCAAGAAAAGUUUCUAAGUUUAGCUAAUGUUGCCCGUACCGUAAACCGACACAGGUGGGUGGGAUGAGUAUUCUAAGGCGCGUGGAAGAACUCUCUUUAAGGAACUCUGCAAAAUAGCACCGUAUCUUCGGUAUAAGGUGUGGUUAGCUUUGUAUUAGGAUUUACUCCGAAAGCAAGGAAACUUACAACAAAGAGUCCCUCCCGACUGUUUACCAAAAACACAGCACUCUGCUAACUCGUAAGAGGAUGUAUAGGGUGUGACGCCUGCCCGGUGCUCGAAGGUUAAUUGAUGGGGUUAGCAUUAGCGAAGCUCUUGAUCGAAGCCCGAGUAAACGGCGGCCGUAACUAUAACGGUCCUAAGGUAGCGAAAUUCCUUGUCGGUUAAAUACCGACCUGCAUGAAUGGCGUAACGAGAUGGGAGCUGUCUCAAAGAGGGAUCCAGUGAAAUUGUAGUGGAGGUGAAAAUUCCUCCUACCCGCGGCAAGACGGAAAGACCCCGUGGACCUUUACUACAGCUUGACACUGCUACUUGGAUAAGAAUGUGCAGGAUAGGUGGGAGGCUUUGAGUAUAUGACGCCAGUUGUAUAUGAGCCAUUGUUGAGAUACCACUCUUUCUUAUUUGGGUAGCUAACCAGCUUGAGUUAUCCUCAAGUGGGACAAUGUCUGGUGGGUAGUUUGACUGGGGCGGUCGCCUCCCAAAUAAUAACGGAGGCUUACAAAGGUUGGCUCAGAACGGUUGGAAAUCGUUCGUAGAGUAUAAAGGUAUAAGCCAGCUUAACUGCAAGACAUACAAGUCAAGCAGAGACGAAAGUCGGUCUUAGUGAUCCGGUGGUUCUGUGUGGAAGGGCCAUCGCUCAAAGGAUAAAAGGUACCCCGGGGAUAACAGGCUGAUCUCCCCCAAGAGCUCACAUCGACGGGGAGGUUUGGCACCUCGAUGUCGGCUCAUCGCAUCCUGGGGCUGGAGCAGGUCCCAAGGGUAUGGCUGUUCGCCAUUUAAAGCGGUACGCGAGCUGGGUUCAGAACGUCGUGAGACAGUUCGGUCCCUAUCUGCCGUGGGCGUAAGAAGAUUGAAGAGAUUUGACCCUAGUACGAGAGGACCGGGUUGAACAAACCACUGGUGUAGCUGUUGUUCUGCCAAGAGCAUCGCAGCGUAGCUAAGUUUGGAAAGGAUAAACGCUGAAAGCAUCUAAGCGUGAAGCCAACUCUAAGAUGAAUCUUCUCUAAGCUCUCUAGAAGACUACUAGUUUGAU
rnacentral:rRNA from 1 species